AACUCCCUUGUUACAAUCAAACUUUUAAUAAAGCAAAUAAUUUUUUCAAUAAACCUUCUAAAUGUUUUUUCCUCUCCCUACUCUACCUUUUGAGCAAGCAAAAUUUGCACUGGACGGCCGUCUUCGAUAAAUCCAAUCUCAUCUUUUAAAACCCUAAUUCGUCCAUCCGACUCUGAAACUAUUGCUGCCGCUUCUCCUUUUUCGAAUCUAUGAUCACUUCCUCUAGGAUGUUCAUACUGAUGCACCCCAUCGUUGACAAAUGUACACAAGAAGAGAAAUCCGUUAUUUCUCAAUAAUGAAGAACUUUGUCUCAGCAACGCACGGUUUAAGAAUCGAAUUUGUAGAACUAAAUCGUAUUUGUAAACAUCACCUUCUGGAACGUUUUGAAAAUCAGCUAGCAUAUCUGCCAAAGAGAUUGCCGUUGCGUUUGGCUCUUGUUUUCCAUCUCUAGUAUACAAUUUCCAUAAUCCCGAUGCAUCUACUUUAGCAACUUUUUUUCCUUCUAUCCUAUCCUCUAGACCUAAACCGCUGAAAAGCUCCGAAAAUCUUUGAAUCGCGCGCUUUUCAGCAUCUAAUGCAGAAACCAUCCAAUGUUUACCGCUCUCUCUAAAACAUAUCCAUGCCAAAUCCCUCCCAGAUCCACAUCCAAUGUCUAAAACUCUUGCAUUAUUUGUCUUUAUUCCUUUUUCAACGACUGGCAUGACCUCUUUUAAAUACGGACAUGGUUCAAAUAGUAAAUUUCGAUUUGGACCGCUUUCCAAAAGCUCAUUCUGAGGUAAAGAUAAAUCUUCCCAUAUUUUAUGACUGAACAUAAAGUGUCCAGCUAUAUUCCAUCCUCUCUUCUUCAAUUGUUGAGCGCAGGUUCCUGUCUCUUCCGUCUCUAUUUUAUCUCCCUGGUCUUCGACAACGAAGAGUUCCUCUUGCUUUGCUGGUAAUUGAUACCAGCAUUUAGAAAUUUUUUCACUUGGAAUAUUGACUGACUUUCGUAAAUGGCUGAUUUCGUACUUGGAUUGAGCACGAACAUCUAAACAUUUAAUCUCACCUCGAACCACGGCCUUUACGAGAUGUUUUGGAUCAUUUAAACUAUUCAUUUGCAUAUUCAAGGGUCACAUAAUCUUCAAUCGAAUUGACUUGAACAAUUUACGCACAAGUUAAUGCCGUUUUAGAACUUUGGAAGUUGGUUACUCGAAAGAGCACAUAAAGUUAGCUUAAGAAAAUUACAUUAUAAUUGAAAUAUCUAAAUUAAAAUGACCAAGGUCACUUGACAAGUGAAAAGUUUAAAAUUAAAGGCAGUACAUAAACAUUAAAUAUUUGUCAUCGUUUCUCAAUCCCAUCGAUGUUGUCGAACACCGGUAGACGGAUCUAUUCUUCCUAACGCAUCUCCAAUCCACUCACUUAGACGAUGAUAAAUAGACAAACUAGCGUUAUGGUAGCUAAUAGAGUGUGCGCUAUCGGGAAAAACCGCCAUGUCAUAGUUAUAACAGUUUGCGAGGUUAAGUCCAUCCAUCAAAUGCAUUGAGUGUUGAAAAUGAACAUUAUCAUCACCCGUUCCAUGUGCAACAAAGAACCUCUUUAACUGUUUAAACUUUUCGUAGUCAUGAAUUUGCGAAUUUUUGUAGCCUUCUUUAUUAUAUUGCGGAAGGUCCAUGUAUCUUUCGGUAUAUACAGAAUCAUAAAGACGCCAAUCAGUUACCGGGGCUACAGCCAUUCCAUACGAAAAAACGUCUUGUGUUUCCAAUGUCUUCAAUGUCAGAUACCCUCCAUAACUCCAACCCCAUAUACCUACAUGAUUCUCAUCAACAAAUGGCAAAUCCGCCCAAAAUUUACCAGCUUGGCCUUGAUCGUAUGAUUCCCAUUCUCCUAAAUGCCUUGACACAGAAUAUCUAAAAGCAUUACCAUUAAAUCCAGUCCCUCUUCCAUCCAAUGUUACCACAAUGAAUUCAAAGUCUGGAUGAGAAGCGAGAUAAGCUUGAAAGUCAACUCUGAACAAUUUAGCAACUUGCUGAGAUCCAGGGCCUCCAUAAGCAAAAAAUAAAACUGGGUACUUUUUGUUAACAUCAAAAUUUCUGGGUCGUCGUUCCAUAAAAUUA